rnacentral:rRNA from 1 species
UGGCGAACGGGUGAGUAAUAUAUCGGAACGUGCCCUAGAGUGGGGGAUAACUAGUCGAAAGACUAGCUAAUACCGCAUACGAUCUAAGGAUGAAAGUGGGGGAUCGCAAGACCUCAUGCUCGUGGAGCGGCCGAUAUCUGAUUAGCUAGUUGGUGGGGUAAAAGCCUACCAAGGCAACGAUCAGUAGCUGGUCUGAGAGGACGACCAGCCACACUGGGACUGAGACACGGCCCAGACUCCUACGGGAGGCAGCAGUGGGGAAUUUUGGACAAUGGGGGCAACCCUGAUCCAGCAAUGCCGCGUGAGUGAAGAAGGCCUUCGGGUUGUAAAGCUCUUUUGUCAGGGAAGAAACGGUUCUGGAUAAUACCUGGAGCUAAUGACGGUACCUGAAGAAUAAGCACCGGCUAACUACGUGCCAGCAGCCGCGGUAAUACGUAGGGUGCAAGCGUUAAUCGGAAUUACUGGGCGUAAAGCGUGCGCAGGCGGUUGUGUAAGUCAGAUGUGAAAUCCCCGGGCUCAACCUGGGAAUUGCAUUUGAGACUGCACGGCUAGAGUGUGUCAGAGGGGGGUAGAAUUCCACGUGUAGCAGUGAAAUGCGUAGAUAUGUGGAGGAAUACCGAUGGCGAAGG